GUCAAUCCAUAUCUGCCAAGUGACCCUAUGUAGGGGGAACAAUCCCUAUUCUGCUCUGUGUCAGUGUUUAUCAGGGAUCCUUAGGAUAGGUGUCAAUCCAUAUCUGCCAAGUGACCCUAUGUAGGGGGAACAGUCCCUAUUCUGCUCUGUGUCAGUGUGUAUCAGGGAUCCUGAGGAUAGGUGUCAAUCCAUAUCUGCCAAGUGACCCUAUGUAGG
rnacentral:lncRNA from 1 species